GAUGAACGCUGGCGGCGUGCCUAACACAUGCAAGUCGAACGGACUCAUAUUGAAACCUAGUGAUUUAUGAGUUAGUGGCGGACGGGUGAGUAACGCGUGGAAAACCUGCCGUAUACCCGGGGAUAACACUUAGAAAUAGGUGCUAAUACCGCAUAAGCGCACAGCUUCGCAUGAAGCAGUGUGAAAAACUCCGGUGGUAUACGAUGGUUCCGCGUCUGAUUAGCUAGUUGGCGGGGUAACGGCCCACCAAGGCAGCGAUCAGUAGCCGGCCUGAGAGGGUGAACGGCCACAUUGGGACUGAGACACGGCCCAA
rnacentral:rRNA from 1 species